UUCCGGAUAGGAAGCAGACAGCUCGGGCUCGCCAAGUUGAGAGGCCCAGGAAGACGAGGCGGAAAUGAGGCCACCCGGAUCCCUGAAUGCUAGAUUUCGAUUGGUCCGCAAAGGAAAGGGCCUUGACUCCGACGGAGCCCAUUUUUGUUUGGGGCAAAACAAAGCGAUUGGCGCCACCUACCCUGAACUGUGAUUCUAGGAUUAGGUGAUGAUUCUGACAACUUCUGUUUUUGCGUAUCAGCUUUCUCUGCGGAGUUUUUUUGGCUUUUAUUAGUUCAUUGAGAUUUCGGAAGACUGGCAUCAAGAAGUGUUUCUGACGAUUACAAAGUAAGACAAGCUACAGCAACUCUGAAACCAAGCAGCGAGCAAAAAGGCAAUUGAGUGCUGUGUUGUCCAAGUUCUACUUUCCCUAGAGUUUUGUACAGUGGAAGAGUUUCGGCUACAUGAAUCAUUUCUAGCUAGGAGGCCUUGAAGACUCUAACAGGAGCUAAUCAAGUGGAAACACAAUGGGGAAAUCCAGGUCAACUAUAAUUCCCAUCAUGACUAAGCAGCAUAAAGACUCAGACUACAGUGACCUAGAACUGACCUCAGGGAGAAAUCAGUCAAAACAGGAUCAUUCAUUUCCAGGAUU